UACGUAGGGGGCUAGCGUUGUCCGGAUUUAUUGGGCGUAAAGAGCGUGUAGGCGGCCAUGUAGGUCCGGUGUGAAAUCUCCCGGCUUAACUGGGAGGGUGCGCCGAAGACUGGAAGGCUUGAGUAUGGGAGAGGUAAGCGGAAUUCCUGGUGUAGCGGUGAAAUGCGUAGAUAUCAGGAGGAACACCUGCGGUGUAGACGGCUUACUGGACCAUAACUGACGCUGAGGCACGAAAGCGUGGGUAGCAAACAGG
rnacentral:rRNA from 1 species